GACUGCACAGUUGGCCUUGGACACUCCUUGUUCUGACCCCGUAGAUGAGCAGCCUGGUGGUCUGGUCCAGCUCUGGGGAGAGGCUUUUCCAGGCUCGGGGGGCUCCUGGCCUUUCUUAGGGAGGCUCCCUCUGCCAGGAGCUGAGCUCACAGGGCGGGCCGGGCCUCGGGGCCCGCACGUCCACUGUCUUCCCUUUCCUGGGAGCUGGCCCAGAGACAAGGGGCAGGGCGUCUGGUUCUCAUCGGGCGGCCAUCUCUAAUUCCUUUGGCAUCUGAGCUGCUUUUCAGAAGGAGGAAGAUGCACUUAACUGAUUGUGACCCAGUGUGGUGCUGAGGAAGCGCUGGGCUUCCAGCAAACAAAGCUGGAUCCAGGGCCUAACUGGGCCACUCACUGGAGCGUAGUCUGGAAACAGUCCUGGAUUCACUGCAAGAUUGGCAUCCGCCUAUGCCAAUUUGUAAAUACUUUUGGAAAUGCCCUUUGCCCAGGAGGCACUUGGCGAAACCUCUUGCUUACUGUGUGGCCAGCCAGCCGUAGGAGAGGUUGAAGGUGAGCAGAGCUGGGAAGGCAGUGAGUGACCCCAGGGAGAGGUGACGAGGAGGCCCCAGCAGGAAGGGCGGUUCGAGGUCUUUCCUGGACGGUGCACGAGACGAACCCGUUCCCCACCUGCUCGUCCCACUCUAGCUCGGGCCUUGCCAAGCUUCUGGGUGAGGCCGUGUGCUCUGGCACAACCCGUGUUUCCCUUUCCAAACCUUAAGCCCGGUGCUGUUCCCACAGCCCAGCUCGGCAGGCUUGUGCUGUGGAACCAGAGGAGGCAGCCUGAUUGGCCGGGCAGGCACGGUGCUGCGGGGCCCCUGGCCUGACCACCCAACAGGUCAGAGCCGUUAAAGCAGGGCAGGACCCGAGAGGGGGGACUGAGAUGCACGAUCGCUCACCCAUCCCCGCAAGGCUGAGGAUCUGCACAAACCUGCUGUCGGUGACGUUUUUCUUGAGAACAUUGGAGAAAUCUGAAUGUUGAAUGAGUGUUACAAAAGCCACAGCUUAGAACGCAAACUCCACCUGAGUUUGACCCGUGCUGAGUUGCUUCAGUUGUGUUCAACUCUUUGUGACCCUAUGCACUGUAGCCCACCAGGUUCCGCUGUCCAUGGGAUUUCCCAGGCAAGAAUACUGCGAAGGGCCGUAUCAUCCUGGGCCUCCCCUGGCAAGCUCACCUCUCACAAGGCUGUGGCUCAACUCCUCUGGGUCUUGUGUGCGGGGCAGCGAUGGUUACUUCUGCAGAAGUCUCUCCCUUCCCAACUCCUGAAUGGUCCUGCUCUGUCUCCUGUUGGGGCUGAAUCGGGACGCUCAGAAUCCUCGUGCUGAAGCCCUGCCACUCAGGGUUUUGGAGACAGGCUCUGUGAAGAGGUGGAAAGCAGGCUGUUAGGUGGCCCUGACCCCAUCUGACUGGUGUCCUUGGACAAGGAGGAGAUAAGGCCAAGGACAGGGCCUCUGGAGGAGCCACCCUGCUGACGCCUGGACCUGGGCCUUCCCGCCUCUGGAAUGUCUAUCGUGAGCCAUCGCCUGUGGUGUUUGGGUGCCGGCAGCCCCAGUGAAUGAACACGCCUGCUGACAGAAUGCCAUCUCUAAAGGGCGGAGGUUGUAUCUGAGGCUUAAAGGACACAACCGCAUGGACUCCCCUGGGGCCAGGCCACAUGUUGUCUGUCCAGAGGCUCUGGAGAUAAAACACUGAGCAGCUGG
ensembl:lncRNA